UACGUAGGGGGCAAGCGUUGUCCGGAUUCAUUGGGCGUAAAGAGCGUGUAGGUGGCCAGGUAGGUCAGCUGUGAAAACUCGAGGCUCAACCUCGAGACGCCGGUUGAAACCAUCUGGCUAGAGUCCGGAAGAGGAGAGUGGAAUUCCUGGUGUAGCGGUGAAAUGCGCAGAUAUCAGGAAGAACACCUAUGGCGAAGGCAGCUCUCUGGGACGGUACUGACGCUGAGACGCGAAAGCGUGGGGAGCGAACAGG
rnacentral:rRNA from 1 species